GACAGAGGGUGCAAACGUUGUUCGGAAUUACUGGGCGUAAAGCGCGUGUAGGCUGCUCCGCAAGUCGGAUGUGAAAGCCCUGGGCUCAACCUAGGAAGUGCAUUCGAUACUGCGGAGCUGGAGUCCUGGAGAGGAAGGCGGAAUUCUCGGUGUAGAGGUGAAAUGCGUAGAUAUCGGGAGGAACACCUGUGGCGAAGGCGGCCCCCUGGUUGGAUACUGACGCUGAUACGCGAAAGCGUGGGGAGCAAACAGG
rnacentral:rRNA from 1 species